UACGUAGGGGGCUAGCGUUGUCCGGAAUUAUUGGGCGUAAAGAGCUCGUAGGCGGUUUGUUGCGUCGGCUGUGAAAUCCCGAGGCUCAACCUCGGGUCUGCAGUCGAUACGAGCAAACUAGAGUGUUGCAGGGGAGACUGGAAUUCCUGGUGUAGCGGUGAAAUGCGCAGAUAUCAGGAGGAACACCGGUGGCGAAGGCGGGUCUCUGGGCAACAACUGACGCUGAGGAGCGAAAGCGUGGGGAGCAAACAGG
rnacentral:rRNA from 1 species